rnacentral:rRNA from 1 species
GAUGAACGCUGGCGGCGCGCCUAACACAUGCAAGUCGAACGGCACCCCUCUCCGGAGGGAAGCGAGUGGCGAACGGCUGAGUAACACGUGGAGAACCUGCCCCCUCCCCCGGGAUAGCCGCCCGAAAGGACGGGUAAUACCGGGUACCCCGGGGUGCCGCAUGGCACCCCGGCUAAAGCCCCGACGGGAGGGGAUGGCUCCGCGGCCCAUCAGGUAGACGGCGGGGUGACGGCCCACCGUGCCGACAACGGGUAGCCGGGUUGAGAGACCGACCGGCCAGAUUGGGACUGAGACACGGCCCAGACUCCUACGGGAGGCAGCAGUGGGGAAUCUUGCGCAAUGGGGGGAACCCUGACGCAGCGACGCCGCGUGCGGGACGGAGGCCUUCGGGUCGUAAACCGCUUUCAGCAGGGAAGAGUCAAGAC